rnacentral:rRNA from 1 species
CGCCUGUUUAACAAAAACAUGUCUUUUUGAAUUAUUUAAAAAGUCUAACCUGCCCACUGAAUUAUUUUAAAUGGCCGCAGUAUCCUAACUGUGCAAAGGUAGCAUAAUCAUUAGUCUUUUAAUUGAAGGCUGGUAUGAAUGAUUGGACGAGAUAUUAACUGUUUCAUAAAAAUUUAUAAUAGAAUUUUAUUUUUUAGUCAAAAAGCUAAAAUAAAUUUAAAAGACGAGAAGACCCUAUAAAUCUUUAUAUUUAGAUAAUUACAAUUUUGUGGAUUUUUUUUGUUGUGAUUGUUGAUAAUAUUUUAUUGGGGUGAUAUUAAAAUUUAAAAAACUUUUAAUUAAUUAAUUCAUUAAUUUAUGAAUAAUUGAUCCGUUAUUAACGAUUAAAAAUUUAAGUUACUUUAGGGAUAACAGCGUAAUUUUUUUGGAGAGUUCAUAUCGAUAAAAAAGAUUGGGACCUCGAUGUUGGAUUAAGAGAUAUAUUUUGGUGUAGUCGCUAAAAUGUUAAGUCUGUUCGACUUUUAAAUUCUUACGUGAUCUGAGUUCAGACCGG